UACGUAGGGAGCGAGCGUUAUCCGGAAUUAUUGGGCGUAAAGGGUGCGUAGACGGCAAUAAAAGUCUUUUGUUAAAGUGCUGAGCUCAACUCAGUGAUGCAAAAGAUACUAUAUAGCUAGAGUAUGGAAGAGGCAAGUGGAACUCCAUGUGUAGCGGUAAAAUGCGUAAAUAUAUGGAAGAACACCAGUGGCGAAGGCGGCUUGCUGGUCCGAUACUGACGUUGAGGCACGAAAGCGUGGGGAGCAAACA
rnacentral:rRNA from 1 species